rnacentral:lncRNA from 14 species
UUCUUAAAUAGAACAAGAAAAUCCUUCUCCAAGCUGAGUAAAUAAUUGCUUUGUGGAAGACAGAGGUCCUUAUGGUUGCCUCCAUCACAUCAUUGCUGUCAAGAGAAUUUCUGAGGAUUAAAAACUUCCCAUUGUGCAACAAAACCCUCAGGACAGAGAGAGGAUGGGAAGGUAGAUCCUUCCUUGCGAGUGGGGGAGAAUGCAGAGCUGGGAGAAGUUUGUGAAACAGAGGCGGAAAGAAGCCCCUAUUGAAGAAGGGUGCAGUGCUGGGCAUGGAAGGAUCCCACAGCCAGAGUUGAAGAGAUGAGAGCCACUUCUCUUAGGAUGCUGAGCAGUCUGGGAAGUCUAAAAGUUGCUGAAAUCAAGACAGUACUGGACAAAAAGCCCUGCUCUAUAAAAAAGUUAAUACAGCCAGCAGCGACAUUACUCUCUGGAAAGUACAUCAGGUACAAGAAUUAAAGGAGAGAAAACUCUUUUCUACUACUUCAGCCACCCAAAGAUCUCCAGCAGCAGCACUGGAAGACCAGCAGAAAGGAGAGACAAGAGGAUUUACAGGCAGCAUGAGACGAAAUUGGAAGAGGUGCCAGCAUCAAAACUUCUCUAUGCUUCUGGUGGCACUUGCACAGGACGAGACAUUCAAAAAGACUUCAUAAUACCCUGCUAAAAUAAAAACUGAAUUAAUCUAGUGUGCUUUAAAAAU